UGCUCUCUGUCUUGCUCGCUUUCUUUCUCUCGCUCUAUGUCUCUCUCUCUCUCUGUCUCGCUCACUCUCUCUCUCUCUCUCGCUCUCUGUCUCUGUCUCGCUCGCUGUCUGUCUGUCUCUGUCUCGCUCGCUUCCUUUCUCUCCCUCUAUGUCUCUCUCUCGUUCUCUCUCUGUCUCGCUCACUCUCUCGCUCUCUGUCUCUCUCGCUCUCUGUCUCACUCACUCUCUGUCUCGCUCGCUGUCUGUCUGUCUCGCUCUCUGUCUCUGUCUCGCUUGCUUUCUUUCUCUCACGCUCUGUCUCGCUCUCUCUCUGCCUCGCACUCUCUUUCUGUCUCGCUCGCUCUCUGUCGCUCUCUAAAAAUCGAUUUCCAGGAUAUUGUAUAUAAUUUGCGGGAGUCAGGAAGCUGCUAUCAAUAUGUGGGAGACUCCCGGAACUUCCAGGAGAGGUGGGAUGUCUGUAUCUACUAUAAUCACAGUAUCAGAAUGUGUUUCCGGUAACUAGUCCACCAAUGCUGUAUGAAGCAAAUCUGCUGCAUCAUAGAAUGAAGACUUUUCUUCUGUGGAUCUUAAGUGGAAGAUGUAACAAGUCAUCAGUGUUGCUGUGUUGUUUGGUUUGAUACUGGAUGGAAUAUUAUUUAAUCUAUCAGCAACAUCCAUCUACAGAAUGCUAUGUCUCAAAAUCACCAAAAUUUCUUUACCAGCAUUUCCCAAUCCCUCAAACUCGAGGAACCUUAAAGGACAAGUGCAACGGGCUUUUGGGAACACCAUCACCUUCAGCUUUCUCUUCAAGUUAUACACUGUCCUGACUCGUAAAUAUAUUGUAAAUCCUUGAAACUAGAUAAUGUGACUGGACUCUCAAAUCACUGUGGGAGUGCUUUCUCCAUACAAACUGCAGCUCUUUGAGAUGGUGGCUUCCUCUCAACUUUUAAAGGGCUUUGGCUGACGGAAAUGGCACAUGAUCAUCAAUAAUGUGCGCAGCUCGCAUCCUGGUCCAGAAGUAUUUGACCUCACUUUGAUGGUCACUCAGUAAACCCAGACGAUGAAGGCGUCGUUCUGUUGGAUAACAUUAAACACAUAAUCACAAAUAAUCUACACAAACGACAGCAAAAUCACAACGAGAAAAUGCUUGAAAUGUCAUUGAUUAUCCAUAGAGAGCUGAAAAUUAUCCUCGACAAUGCUGAACAAGGAAAAUACUACUUUAAUGUAUCCUUCAGUUAAAUGAUAAGAGCAACAGGCUGUAUCCUUUCAAAUAUGAAGUAACCAUACCUGAAGAUUCACUUUUAAAGUAUCACUUUUAAUUAAUCACUUGUAUUUUAAAAUAUUCAAAUACCAUUUUUGGUGAUUGUUGUGGCAUGCUCUUAAAUCUUCCAGCUGAUCAACUAAAUUGAUGACAAGAUACUGAAAAAAUACUUUGUUUUCUGUAGUGGCCUUCAUAUCCUUUCCAGAAUUCCCUUUUUUCCAAUAAUGUAGCAAAUUACCUUUUAUACAA